rnacentral:rRNA from 1 species
CCUACGGGGUGCAGCAGUGGGGGAUAUUGCAAAAUGGGGGGAACCCUGAUGCAGCGACGCCGCGUGGGUGAAGAAGCGCCUCGGCGCGUAAAGCCCUGUCAGCAGGGAAGAAAAUGACGGUACCUGAAGAAGAAGCCCCGGCUAACUACGUGCCAGCAGCCGCGGUAAUACGUAGGGGGCAAGUGUUAUCCGGAUUUACUGGGUGGAAAGGGGGCGCAGACGGCGAUGCAAGCCAGGAGUGAAAGCCCGGGGCCCAACCCCGGGACUGCUCUUGGAACUGCGUGGCUGGAGUGCAGGAGGGGCAGGCGGAAUUCCUGGUGUAGCGGUGAAAUGCGUAGAUAUCAGGAGGAACACCGGUGGCGAAGGCGGCCUGCUGGACUGCAACUGACGUUGAGGCCCGAAAGCGUGGGGAGCAAACAGGAUUAGAUACCCGAGUAGUC